rnacentral:rRNA from 1 species
UACGGGGGGAGCAAGCGUUGUUCGGAUUUACUGGGCGUAAAGGGCGCGUAGGCGGCCACCGCAAGUCGGUUGUGAAAUCUCUGGGCUUAACCCAGAAAGGUCAACCGAUACUGCGGGGCUAGAGUGCAGAAGGGGCAACUGGAAUUCUUGGUGUAGCGGUGAAAUGCGUAGAUAUCAAGAGGAACACCUGAGGUGAAGACGGGUUGCUGGGCCGACACUGACGCUGACAGCGCGAAAGCCAGGGGAGCAAACGGG